UACAGAGGGGCAAGCGUUGUUCGGAAUUACUGGGCGUAAAGGGCGCGUAGGCGGCCUUCUAAGUCGAACGUGAAAUCCCCGGGCUCAACCCGGGAACUGCGUCCGAUACUGGAAGGCUUGAAUCCGGGAGAGGGAUGCGGAAUUCCAGGUGUAGCGGUGAAAUGGCGUAGAUAUCUGGAGGAACACCGGUGGCGAAGGCGGCAUCCUGGACCGGCAUUGACGCUGAGGCGCGAAAGCCAGGGGAGCAAACGGG
rnacentral:rRNA from 1 species